UACGAAGGGGGCUAGCGUUGUUCGGAAUUACUGGGCGUAAAGGGCGCGUAGGCGGUACUUCAAGUCAGGCGUGAAAUCCCCGGGCUCAACCUGGGAAUUGCGGUUGGAACUGGCAAGCUAGAGUAGGGUAGAGGGGUGUGGAAUUCCAGGUGUAGCGGUGAAAUGCGUAGAUAUCUGGAGGAACACCGGUGGCGAAGGCGGCAUCCUGGACCAAUAUUGACGCUGAGGAGCGAAAGCCAGGGGAGCAAACGGG
rnacentral:rRNA from 1 species